rnacentral:rRNA from 1 species
UUCGCAAUGCCCGAAAGGGUGACGAAGCGACGCCGCGUGUGGGAAGAAGGCCUUCGGGUUGUAAACCACUGUCGGGAGUUAAGAAAUACAAGGAUAUUAAUAGUGUCUUUGUUUGACUAAGGCUCCGGAGGAAGCCACGGCUAACUCUGUGCCAGCAGCCGCGGUAAUACAGAGGCGGCAAGCGUUGUUCGGAAUUAUUGGGCGUAAAGAGCACGUAGGCGGCUGUGUAAGUCGGUUGUGAAAGCCUUCCGCUCAACGGAAGAACAGCAUCCGAUACUGCAUGGCUUGAGUGCGGGAGGGGAGAGUGGAACUUCUGGUGGAGCGGUGAAAUGCGUAGAUAUCAGAAGGAACGCCGGCGGCGAAAGCGGCUCUCUGGCCCAUAACUGACGCUGAGUGUGCGAAAGCUAGGGGAGCAAACGGGAUUAGAUACCCCGGUAGUCCUAGCCGUAAACGAUGGGCACUAAGUAGAGGGGUUUU